AUUAAGAUACUAAAUUGGCGGUUAGCCCUCUCUAGCAGUCCUAAUAUGAUAGAUAGGUGUCAGGAUGGGAUAACAAGGGUGCUUGAGUAUGCAAUCCUAUGAUCAAGUUCUAGUUAAUUAAUCUAAAACAAGCAAUGAAUACAAAUCUAUCAUGAAUAUCACAACAAGGCAGAUCUAUAGUUUGGGGCUAAUCCCACAAACCUAUCUGAACCCCAAACCUAACAGGUUGAUCUAUUCAGACAUGAAAUUAGUCACAUAAAUCAUAGAUGAAACAGAUGUAAAACUGAAAUAGAAAUGAUUAAGAAAACCAAUGAAGUUCCAGGAGGACUCUGAUAGAAGUUCCUCCCUUCUCUCCUCUAAGAGAAACAAUGGAAAUGAAAGCGUAAAGAAGUCUAGAAAGCGUUACCGUCAACAAUGGCUUAGAAAUAACAUAAAUAGGGUUUCUGGUCGUCCAAGGGCAUUCUGGUAAUUUGUGGCUUAUGGGCUUCACGCAGUCAUAAAAUAUACAAGGCCCACGAUAUGGGAUCUCCAUUGAUCUGGGAUCUCCAUCGGUCUGGGAUCUCCAUCGAUCGACGUGCAGAGUGCUGCAUCGAUCGACCUGGCUUCCUCUUCUCAGCAGCUUCCUCUCGCGAGGCAGACUGACCACUCUUCAGUAAAACGGACAUAACGUCUGCUACAAGAUGCUGAUUUUACCUAAGACCGGUGGCAUUGGAAAUCUAACUCAAAGCUCUAUUUUGUGUCAAAAUAUAGGCUUAAUCUAACGGUCGGAAGGUCUCCAUCCAUAGCUAAACAUCUGAUGCGUCUGUGCAACUCUGCACAUCCAAAGGCCCCAAAAGACUCCAAAAUCACCAUAUUUCUCUUAAACGUCCCUGAACCUGUAAAUACUCUAAAUAGACUCCAAAACAUAAUUAUUGUAUCUUAAAACACUUUAAAACACUUAUAAACCAUGAUUAAAAAUGGAUAAAAUAUAUGGUCUAUCAAUUACCACUAUUAUGGUUUUUUAAGUUUUCAUGGUUUUAAUUUAACACUAAAUAGCAAUAAGGGGAUUAACUCUAUAUGAUGUGAAAACUUAUCUCCAAUAUGGUUUGAACUUAUAUUAACUUAUAUGUGUUGUUUCAUCACGCAGAUGAUUGCCACUCCUGUUACCAUCGAUGGUCAUGACUCAUGAGUAUGCUCCUCUUAAGUAUGAGACAUCUCAACAACAUAGGCAUUAGUGCCAUCAAUGAGAUAGCUCUUUUGCAGUUUCGGUCAGUCUUUGGAUGUUUUAGCAAAAUGGUUCGUUGAUACUUGGUAGUAGAGUUGUAUUUGUCGUUUAGGAUGUGAAUAGAUAAUAAAAUUUGUUUAAAGCUUGAAGGUUUGAGAUUGCAAUUGUCAUAUACAAACAAAUCCCUCUUAGAAGGAAGCGAACGUACUCAUUUUUUUCUUUGUAAUAAAUAAGAAAGACACAUGAUUUUCUUACACAGAUGCAAGUACUGCCUAAACAAGAGGUCUUGAUACAAAAGGCAAGUCAUUUUGAAACUUGGUUUGAAGAUUUUCCAAGCAUAUUGGAUCUACAAAACAAAAACGCAACUCUCACACAGACCAAGCCAUGUUAUUGAUUGUGUUGGGCUUGGAAGCUUCCAUGAGUCUUAACUCUUCAACCUUCAAGAAAAUAGCAAAGUGAGCCAGAAGUUCAUAGCAAGAGAAACAAUGCAUGUGGAUAUGACUAUAGUAAUCAGCUCUCUUUUAUUACUUCCUUUUCUCUUAUAACAGAAUGAGAUAGAUAAUGAUCAAACAAAGCACAAAUGAAUCAUUUCAAGGAGCACAAGAUUACACUAUGAGCUACUACUAAUGCAACCCCUGAACAAGAAGCAACAAAAACUGUGACACAAAUUACAAAUAGAAGCUCAACCAAACGCUAGAGAAUCCAAAUCUAACAACGCUAGAGACAUGUGCUUGGAUCAAUCAAAGAGUUUCCGAAGAUAGCUUCUUUGAGACCAACUUCCUUUUCUGAUGAAUUGAAUCAAAUCAAGAACAAGAUAUAAGAGAAUCUCCCUUCAUUAAAAUAUCAAAAGCUACCUUUCUAUGAAAUAAUACAAAGACUAUAAAUAAGAAUUCUAAGCUAGGGUUUUCUAAGAAUAUACAAUAAAAGGAAAACUGUUGUGGUCGAAAACGGUCACGACGAAGUUAACGUCCAAAUCUCCGAAACAUAUAAGUAUGACUCUCCGCAACAUAGCUUUUCGAGAUAAAGUUUCAUCUCGAACUUCAUCUAGAUCAAACAUAAGCCAUCGGAAACAUACCCAAACCAUGUACGGAUAAGUUCGAGUAUGACAAUCGGAACACGGACAAACCAAGCUCGGUCAUUGCGCAACUACCGCACAUGCACGCUGUCCGGUCGCUACAUAGCGACCAAGCUCGAGCUAAGCUCGGUCGCUAUGUAGCGAUCGGGCGUUCGUCCCGUUCGGUCGCUACGUAACGAUCGGGCUUCGGCCAAGCUCGGUCGCUACGUAGCGACCGAGCUCUUCUGAAAUGUCGAUACGGCACCAGUCCGUGCAUUCUCGUCAAACCUUCGAUGAUAUCUCCCGAUGACCGUAGCAAACUCAGUUCAUGUUUUCCGCCAUUCUAAAUCAUCGAUCAAACUUUACGGGUAAAACCGUGGAAAGUUCGUUCUUUAUCGAAAGAAGUCGCAGUAAACGCUUCGAGUCAGAAGACGGCCCAAAGGGACCUAAAUACGACUCGAGACCCAACCUACGAUUUUCUUAACUGAAUGCCCGUAAACCGUAGCACGGUUUACGCUUGGCGCGCAAGGAAGGAUAAAUAUCAAGUUUCCGCGGAUGAAUACGAAAUUUUGAGGAUAAUUACAAGAUCGGAAAAAAAUUGGAAUAUCUCCAUUUUAUGCUAUGACGGCUUAAGGGCAGAAGAGUAAAAGCGUAGACCGACCUUGGAGCGAGUAUAUAAGGAGUCCUAGGAGAGAGGCAUGGGGUAGAACAUUUCCAGAGCAAACUUAGCACUUAGAGCAAUUUAGGCAUAUUUCCAUUUUUGUUAUUCGAGCUGCGACUCAAUUAGGUUAUUGCCGUCUUAGGGUUUUAGAACUAGGAAUCUCGCCGACAGCUCUCGUAGCCCAGGCU